AAGAGGCAGCCAAGCGGCAAUGUAUUUCUGGAUUGCAAUUACUUGCCUCCGCUCUGAGAGAAACCCCAGCCACAUCUCCAGCACACAAGAACUUCAAAACGCCUAAACCACAGUGGCCAGGCAUUCCUCCAGGACCUCCUCCCCCAGGAUCUUGCUUCAAGUGCCGGAAAUCUGGCCACUGGGCCAAGGAAUGCCCGCAGCCCAGGAUUCCUCCUAAGCCGUGUCCUAUCUGUGCAGGUCCCCACUCGAAAUCGGACUGUCCAGCUUGCCCAAAAGCCACUCCCAGAGCCCCUGGAACUCUGCCCCAAGGCUCUCUGACUGACUCCUUCCCAGAUCUUCUUGGCUUAGUGGCUGAAGACUGAUGCUGCCUGAUUGCCUCAGAAGCCUCCUGGACCAUCACAGACACUUCAGGUAACUUACAGUGGAGAAUAAACUCCUGGGACAUUUCAUCUUUGGAUACUACAGAGCCUGAUAUUAAUUGCAUGUUGGGAGAACUGUGUCCCUGGGAUCUUUUUGGAUUCAGUGUCCUGCGUCCUUGCCAGUGUCUCCUGAUUUGCUGAUCUUCAGUGAUCUCCAAUCUCAAAUAACAGCCCCGACAACCAAUACAUGAGCCUUAGACACUGAGUUGUCACUUGAAGGUAAUAAUGGUUUGAACUCUAUGGCUUAAGCUUCCUUUCUGUAUUAAAAUAUGAUUAUUAGUGUGAAAAAAAUGUGGAAAACUUUUUUUCUUGUAACAUAUUUAUUUCUUUUUAUGCUUUGAUUUUAUUUCUAUACCAUGCCCAUGAUUCUUAACUUUUAAUGGCGAACUGGUUUAAAGUGAUGUUCAUCUGGGUGAGGGGAGAUU
rnacentral:lncRNA from 10 species